rnacentral:rRNA from 1 species
GAUGAACGCUGGCGGCGUGCCUAAUACAUGCAAGUCGAGCGAAUGGAUUAAGAGCUUGCUCUUAUGAAGUUAGCGGCGGACGGGUGAGUAACACGUGGGUAACCUGCCCAUAAGACUGGGAUAACUCCGGGAAACCGGGGCUAAUACCGGAUAACAUUUUGAACCGCAUGGUUCGAACUUGAAAGGCGGCUUCGGCUGUCACUUAUGGAUGUACCCGCGUCGCAUUAGCUAGUUGGUGAGGUAACGGCUCACCAAGGCAACGAUGCGUAGCCGAACUGAGAGGGUGAUCGGCCACACUGGGACUGAGACACGGCCCAGACUCCUACGGGAGGCAGCAGUAGGGAAUCUUCCGCAAUGGACGAAAGUCUGACGGAGCAACGCCGCGUGAGUGAUGAAGGCUUUCGGGUCGUAAAACUCUGUUGUUAGGGAAGAACAAGUGCUAGUUGAAUAAGCUGGCACCUUGACGGUACCUAACCAGAAAGCCACGGCUAACUACGUGCCAGCCGCCGCAGUAA